rnacentral:misc_RNA from 1 species
CAGAUGGUUAUAAGAGACAGGUGAAUCAUCGAAUCUUUGAACGCACAUUGCGCCCUCUGGUAUUCCGGGGGGCAUGCCUGUUCGAGCGUCAUUAUAACCACUCAAGCUCUCGCUUGGUAUUGGGGUUCGCGGUUUCGCGGCCUCUAAAAUCAGUGGCGGUGCCUGCCGGCUCUACGCGUAGUAAUACUCCUCGCGUCUGGGUCCGGUAGGUCUACUUGCCAGCAACCCCCAAUUUUUUACAGGUUGACCUCGGAUCAGGUAGGGAUACCCGCUGAACUUAAGCAUAUCAAUAAGCGGAGG